rnacentral:rRNA from 1 species
UUAAGCGACUAAGCGUACACGGUGGAUGCCCUGGCAGUCAGAGGCGAUGAAGGACGUGCUAAUCUGCGAUAAGCGUCGGUGAGGUGAUAUGAACCGUUAUAACCGGCGAUUUCCGAAUGGGGAAACCCAGUGUGUUUCGACACACUAUCAUUAACUGAAUCCAUAGGUUAAUGAGGCGAACCGGGGGAACUGAAACAUCUAAGUACCCCGAGGAAAAGAAAUCAACCGAGAUUCCCCCAGUAGCGGCGAGCGAACGGGGAGGAGCCCAGAGCCUGAAUCAGUGUGUGUGUUAGUGGAAGCGUCUGGAAAGGCGUGCGAUACAGGGUGACAGCCCCGUACACAAAAAUGCACAUAUUGUGAGCUCGAUGAGUAGGGCGGGACACGUGGUAUCCUGUCUGAAUAUGGGGGGACCAUCCUCCAAGGCUAAAUACUCCUGACUGACCGAUAGUGAACCAGUACCGUGAGGGAAAGGCGAAAAGAACCCCGGCGAGGGGAGUGAAAAAGAACCUGAAACCGUGUACGUACAAGCAGUGGGAGCCUCUUAAUGGGGUGACUGCGUACCUUUUGUAUAAUGGGUCAGCGACUUAUAUUCUGUAGCAAGGUUAACCGAAUAGGGGAGCCGAAGGGAAACCGAGUCUUAACUGGGCGUUAAGUUGCAGGGUAUAGACCCGAAACCCGGUGAUCUAGCCAUGGGCAGGUUGAAGGUUGGGUAACACUAACUGGAGGACCGAACCGACUAAUGUUGAAAAAUUAGCGGAUGACUUGUGGCUGGGGGUGAAAGGCCAAUCAAACCGGGAGAUAGCUGGUUCUCCCCGAAAGCUAUUUAGGUAGCGCCUCGUGAAUUCAUCUCCGGGGGUAGAGCACUGUUUCGGCAAGGGGGUCAUCCCGACUUACCAACCCGAUGCAAACUGCGAAUACCGGAGAAUGUUAUCACGGGAGACACACGGCGGGUGCUAACGUCCGUCGUGAAGAGGGAAACAACCCAGACCGCCAGCUAAGGUCCCAAAGUCAUGGUUAAGUGGGAAACGAUGUGGGAAGGCCCAGACAGCCAGGAUGUUGGCUUAGAAGCAGCCAUCAUUUAAAGAAAGCGUAAUAGCUCACUGGUCGAGUCGGCCUGCGCGGAAGAUGUAACGGGGCUAAACCAUGCACCGAAGCUGCGGCAGCGACACUAUGUGUUGUUGGGUAGGGGAGCGUUCUGUAAGCCUGUGAAGGUGGCCUGUGAGGGUUGCUGGAGGUAUCAGAAGUGCGAAUGCUGACAUAAGUAACGAUAAAGCGGGUGAAAAGCCCGCUCGCCGGAAGACCAAGGGUUCCUGUCCAACGUUAAUCGGGGCAGGGUGAGUCGACCCCUAAGGCGAGGCCGAAAGGCGUAGUCGAUGGGAAACAGGUUAAUAUUCCUGUACUUGGUGUUACUGCGAAGGGGGGACGGAGAAGGCUAUGUUGGCCGGGCGACGGUUGUCCCGGUUUAAGCGUGUAGGCUGGUUUUCCAGGCAAAUCCGGAAAACCAAGGCUGAGGCGUGAUGACGAGGCACUACGGUGCUGAAGUGACAAAUGCCCUGCUUCCAGGAAAAGCCUCUAAGCAUCAGGUAACAUCAAAUCGUACCCCAAACCGACACAGGUGGUCAGGUAGAGAAUACCAAGGCGCUUGAGAGAACUCGGGUGAAGGAACUAGGCAAAAUGGUGCCGUAACUUCGGGAGAAGGCACGCUGAUAUGUAGGUGAAGCGACUUGCUCGUGGAGCUGAAAUCAGUCGAAGAUACCAGCUGGCUGCAACUGUUUAUUAAAAACACAGCACUGUGCAAACACGAAAGUGGAGGUAUACGGUGUGACGCCUGCCCGGUGCCGGAAGGUUAAUUGAUGGGGUUAGCGGUAACGCGAAGCUCUUGAUCGAAGCCCCGGUAAACGGCGGCCGUAACUAUAACGGUCCUAAGGUAGCGAAAUUCCUUGUCGGGUAAGUUCCGACCUGCACGAAUGGCGUAAUGAUGGCCAGGCUGUCUCCACCCGAGACUCAGUGAAAUUGAACUCGCUGUGAAGAUGCAGUGUACCCGCGGCAAGACGGAAAGACCCCGUGAACCUUUACUAUAGCUUGACACUGAACAUUGAGCCUUGAUGUGUAGGAUAGGUGGGAGGCUUUGAAGUGUGGACGCCAGUCUGCAUGGAGCCGACCUUGAAAUACCACCCUUUAAUGUUUGAUGUUCUAACGUUGGCCCGUAAUCCGGGUUGCGGACAGUGUCUGGUGGGUAGUUUGACUGGGGCGGUCUCCUCCUAAAGAGUAACGGAGGAGCACGAAGGUUGGCUAAUCCUGGUCGGACAUCAGGAGGUUAGUGCAAUGGCAUAAGCCAGCUUGACUGCGAGCGUGACGGCGCGAGCAGGUGCGAAAGCAGGUCAUAGUGAUCCGGUGGUUCUGAAUGGAAGGGCCAUCGCUCAACGGAUAAAAGGUACUCCGGGGAUAACAGGCUGAUACCGCCCAAGAGUUCAUAUCGACGGCGGUGUUUGGCACCUCGAUGUCGGCUCAUCACAUCCUGGGGCUGAAGUAGGUCCCAAGGGUAUGGCUGUUCGCCAUUUAAAGUGGUACGCGAGCUGGGUUUAGAACGUCGUGAGACAGUUCGGUCCCUAUCUGCCGUGGGCGCUGGAGAACUGAGGGGGGCUGCUCCUAGUACGAGAGGACCGGAGUGGACGCAUCACUGGUGUUCGGGUUGUCAUGCCAAUGGCACUGCCCGGUAGCUAAAUGCGGAAGAGAUAAGUGCUGAAAGCAUCUAAGCACGAAACUUGCCCCGAGAUGAGUUCUCCCUGAGACUUAGAGUCUCCUGAAGGAACGUUGAAGACGACGACGUUGAUAGGCCGGGUGUGUAAGCGCAGCGAUGCGUUGAGCUAACCGGUACUAAUGAACCGUGAGGCUUAACCUU